GCCCUGCCUGCCAACCAGGAUGACAACCCUUCACCUGCCAGGUGGAGAGAGACAGCAGCAGGCUAACUAGUUGUCUGUUAAGAACAUCCAGAGCAGGACCAGAAUCUGGGCCAGGAACUGAGAGACAGAUUGGGACAACGGAACAAAUCUACCAGGGUACUAUCAGAUGGAGGAACAUGUAGUUUGUGGUCAGUGACCUCAGGUUCUCACAUUCACGGUGCUGCAUCCUGGUUUUCAUUUGGGGACUGUUUUCUGGCACUCCCGCCUGUCUGGAGGUGAGAUAUGCUUGUUAUGACAACCCUUCUGUCACAAUAAAUUGGCUGGUGCAUUCAGUGUCA
ensembl:lncRNA novel transcript, antisense to NAB1